rnacentral:misc_RNA from 1 species
GAAUAAGGAUCUGAAUCAGCAUAAAUUUAUACUUAUACUUUUAUUUAUUUCAAUAUAUUUUUCUAUUACAAAUUCAUCCACUCGCUCUUCUAUCAGUCAACCUCAACAGAAUACAAUAUAUUUUUGCCAGCGUGUCAUUCAAUCACUAACACAUUUCUGAAAGCACUUUUUUCUAUAGUGCAUAGUUCGCAUAACGAUUUUUGUUUUAUUUUUUCAUUCUGGAGAAUAACAAAUAAUCGCAAGGGAGUGAUCAGGUGAAUAUGGUGACUGUAAAUGUCAUUUUUUACGAGAAACUCCCGAGUCAGUAGUGACGCAUGAGCUGAUAUGUUUUAGUAGUAUAAUUUCUACAAAUUAUCGUUUUACAAAUCCUUCGAAUUGCUUUUUACAAUUGACGUGAUACGCUCAAAUAGUAUUCUCUAUGGAUCGUAACAUAUUGUGAUAAAAAUUUAUGAAACACAAUACCACGGUAAUCGAAAA